AGUGAACGCUGGCGGUAGGCCUAACACAUGCAAGUCGAACGGCAGCACAGUAAGAGCUUGCUCUUACGGGUGUCGAGUGGCGGACGGGUGAGGUAUACAUCGGAAUCUACUUUUUCGUGGGGGAUAACGUAGGGAAACUUACGCUAAUACCGCAUACGACCUACGGGUGAAAGCAGGGGAUCUUCGGACCUUGCGCGAUUGAAUGAGCCGAUGUCGGAUUAGCUAGUUGGCGGGGUAAAGGCCCACCAAGGCGACGAUCCGUAGCUGGUCUGAGAGGAUGAAGAGACACACUGGAACUGAGACACGGUCCAGACUCCUACGGGAGGAAGCAGUGGGGAAUAUUAGACAAUGGGCGCGAGCCUGAUCCAGCCAUACCGCGUGGGUGAAGAAGGACUUAGGGUUGUAAAGCCCUUUUGUUGGGAAAGAAAAGCAGCAGGUUAAUACCCCGAUGUUCUGACGGUACCAAAAGAAUAAGCACCGGCUAACUUCGUG
rnacentral:rRNA from 1 species